UCUAAUUACUAUUAGUAUACCAGCCCUGGAACUGCGGCUUUGUUUGUAGCCGAGAAUAUUGGUGACAUCAUAGUGGCCCGUUCAAGAGAGGCAAAGAGAAACUCUCUUGCGCUCUCUCCCCAACACGGAGAGUGCGUGGAAAUGAAAACAUUGCUUUCACCAUCUCGCCGAUUAGUCUGCAUAUCAGUUUAGUCGGCUUUUCGCUUUCGUUAGAUAAAAAGUAAGUGCGUGGUGUCGUUGCAAUUCGCGGAUUAUAUAAGGGAUUUGAGCCGCGACUGCAUUGAUUUUCCAUUGGCCAUGGCCCGCAUCGUUGAGAGCAAUUUUGUGCCACUCGCCGUGGGUGUGGUCGCCGUACUCGCCGGCGCCCUGAUCGUCCACUAUCUGCUGAAUAAGAAGUCCACGAAACCACGCCGGGAACCCAAUCGCACCGCUCGACUGCGCACGCUUGUGGAUCCCAACGACAAGUACCUGCUGCCUCUCAUCGAAAAGGAGAAUCUGAGCCAUGACACUAGGCGAUUCCGGUUUGGAUUGCCCUCCAAGCAGCAUGUCCUUGGCCUGCCCGUUGGCCAGCACAUUCAUCUGAUCGCUACCAUUGACAAUGAGCUGGUAAUUCGGCCAUACACUCCGAUAUCGUCCGAUGAGGAUGUGGGCUAUGUGGACCUGGUCGUCAAGGUGUACUUCAAGGACACGCAUCCCAAGUUCCCCGCCGGCGGCAAAAUGACGCAACACCUGGAGCAGCUCGAGUUGGGGGACAAGAUCUCGUUCCGUGGUCCCUCGGGUAGACUGCAAUAUCUCGGCAAUGGCACCUUCUCCAUCAAAAAGUUGCGCAAGGAUCCGCCCAAGCACGUGACCGCCAAGCGGGUCAACAUGAUUGCCGGCGGCACUGGCAUUACUCCAAUGCUCCAAUUGGCUAGGGAAGUGCUCAAGCGCAGCGAUAAGGAUAAGACUGAGCUGGCGUUGCUGUUCGCCAACCAGAGCGAAAAGGACAUUCUGCUGCGUGCAGAGUUGGACGAAUUGGCCCAGAAGCAUCCUGACCAGUUCAAGGUCUGGUACACAGUUGACAAGGCAAACGAAGCCUGGUCCUACACCACUGGCCACGUGAACGAUGACAUGAUGCAGCAGCAUCUGUAUCCGCCGGGCGUGGACACGCUGUGCCUACUGUGUGGUCCUCCACCCAUGGUGAACUAUACAUGCAUUCCGGGCCUGGAGCGACUUGGUCACAGGGCCGAGCAGCGGUUCAGCUAUUAGGAGUUGAUACUAUGCCUGUGUUUUGAUUUCAUUUAACAGUGCUGAGCCAGUGGGAAAGAUUGUGUGCAUCAGGUUGGCAGUAUAGCGUUGGCUUCAUCAAUGAGGAAAUGAUCGCCGCCCACCUGCUUCCGGCCAAGGACGAUACCAUUGUGUUGCUUUGCGGCCCACCACCCAUGAUUAACUUUGCCUGCAAUCCGGCGCUGGACAAGCUUGGCUACCAUCCGGACACCCGUUUUGCCUACUAAAAUGUUGGACAUUAUGGGACGAAAUUGCAUUUUCGUUUUGUUAUAUUCCUUUUUUAUCUGUUGUCUCUAACCAGCUCAUCAAAAUCCAAGAGUUCGCCCAGAUUUCGGCAAUGUGAUUGAAAACCAAGCGAAUAAAAACAUUAAUUAGUUUAAAGUUUAAA
rnacentral:misc_RNA from 1 species